ACCUGGUCCGAGGUUAGCAGCCCUUUUCCCGACACCAGGUUUUGGUAAUAGAUGUUGUCGAAGGCCGCAGGGGUUUGCGGGUCCAGCUCAAUGGCUACGGUGGGGUCGGGGUUUCUGGGGCAUCCCGCCAUCAGAGUCUGGGCGUAGGUGGGGUCCAGAGUGGGGUCCACUGGAUUGGAAGAUGAGAAGGAGUAUAAACGAUUGGCGAACUGAUCGCAGUGCGAGAACCCCACGGUGUGGGCCCCGGAGAGGGCUAUCAUAUCCGUUUGGGUGAGACCGUGCUUCUGGAAAAGCGAUGUGAGUUGGUCCAAGUUGAAGUUCGCUUUGGGGAGGUUUCCUUCCACACGAGAUGCCUUAGAAAUCAACCCGUCUCUGC
rnacentral:lncRNA from 1 species